UGACCCUAAUGGGUCACCUAGCCAACUGACGUUGUUAGUGAACUUAGUAUUCACAAAUGACAGCCAAUAGAAGCGAUUUCUAUUGGCUAUUUUUUU
rnacentral:sRNA from 1 species